GACGAACGCUGGCGGCGUGCUUAACACAUGCAAGUCGAACGGAAAGGCCUGCUUUCCCUUGUGGAUUGCGGGUACUCGAGUGGCGAACGGGUGAGUAACACGUGAGUGAUCUGCCCCCAACUUGGGUAUAAGCCUGGGAAACUGGGUCUAAUUCCCGAUAGGACUGCAGGGUGGUGCCUGUGGUGGAAAACGAUUUUCUAGUGGUUGGGGAUGAGCUCGCGGCCUAUCAGCUUGUUGGUGGGGUAAUGGCCUACCAAGGCGGCGACGGGUAGCCGGCCUGAGAGGGUGGACGGCCACAUUGGGACUGGGAUACGGCCCAGACUCCUACGGGAGGCAGCAGUGGGGAAGAUUGCACAAUGGGCGGAAGCCUGAUGCAGCGACGCCGCGUGGGGGAUGACGGACUUCGGGUUGUAAACUCCUUUCGACCGCGAGGAAGCCACCUGGUUGGAAGGGUGGUGACGGUAGUGGUAGAAGAAGCACCGGCUAACUACGUG
rnacentral:rRNA from 1 species